UAGGAAAUCUUCCACAAUGGACGAAAGUCUGAUGGAGCAACGCCGCGUGAGUGAAGAAGGGUUUCGGCUCGUAAAACUCUGUUGUUAAAGAAGAACAUAUCUGAGAGUAACUGUUCAGGUAUUGACGGUAUUUAACCAGAAAGCCACGGCUAACUACGUGCCA
rnacentral:rRNA from 1 species